UCGAGUUUCACGGAUUGUCCUCCACGGCUCCACAAAGUCUGCCCGUUCGCCAUCCCGACGCCUGUGCUGGCGACAGGAGAGGCAUUCUCCAAGAUCGCCUCCCCGUCCUCUACGCCGCCGGUUUCCUCCCGUACCCGACGAGAACGCGGCCGCCACCUCCCCGUCCGCAUCGCCGCCGUCCCGUACUUGCCGCCUCAACUAGCAUCGACGAGCUCGCCCCCACCGGCCCUAAGCCCGGAUCUGGAGGAGAGCGCCGCCAUAUUCCCGUCCCUGCCACCGUCGGCCAGCCGAGGGUCAUUCUCUACCACUGAGAUGUCAACAUGAAGGGAGACCUGUAAAUUGUAUACAUAUUAGAGUUAGUUUUCUUUCUUUCACCAUUUGUUCGGAGUGAGAACGAAGGCUUCUCAUGGCAUCACUGCAAGAAUCCAAUUCCCUGUGCUUGAAGAGAAAGCUCGUCGAUGACUGCCUGUCAAAAGACUGCAAAUCUCGUCGUGUCAAAUCUGAGAAUUGGCCCUCAUUUGAUUCAUCUGCUAAACGCUGCAAUUGUUGUUGCACACGACCUAACCUUGCCAGUGAUUGUGUCAAUUUCCUGAAGAGUGAAGUGCCUAGCUGUAUCAUGUAUUACAAACAAGGUUCUUGGCACAAUUUUCCUGAGCAAAUAAUGAAGUCCCUCGUUGAAAAAUUCAGAGGCAAUAAAUCGAGUUUUGUGGUUGUGAUGGACAAUGAGCCUCUUCUUGUUGAUUUCUUAUCAAUGACCCUGGUCAACUUAAAAACCAGAAAGCAGCGUUCUGUUGCAUGGUUUGAUGACACUGGCAAGCGUUUCUCUCCUUCUCUGUUCUUUGACGAGGAAAGUGAUGAAAUGACCAAAGGGGGUUCUGGUAACAUUGACAGCACUGCACAGGGAAUAAUGUUAGAUAAGGCUGCAAAUUCUCCACCUGAAGUGGUCAAGCAAGUUGUCCUUGAAUCUAGCCCUCCAGUUCCUCAAAAACCUUCCACUACAGAUGUAUUGCGCAAGAAAAUGACAUCUGUGGAAAGAGGCAGUGAAGGCUUUCUAUUUGUCCAGGACCUUUUCCUCUCUGGUAUGGGUUCAUUUGCAACACCAAGUAGCAUACUUCAUGUCCACCGCUACUCUCCAAAUGAUAUUACUGCACAAUGUAGAUUUGAAGCUUUUGAAAGACAGAUGAGGUCCACCAAAGAAGAAUGUGGUGAUGCAAAUGUAAGAUAUGGAUGGAUAGGGUCUAGGAAGAAUGACAUAGUUAGGAUUCUGAUUAAUGGUUUGGGUACCACUGUAAAAUCUGUUGAGAAGGCAGGUUUGAGUGCUGGUGUAUAUCUUUCACCAGAAAACCGAGCCUUUACCAGUGUCGGUCUUUGUGAUGUUGACAGAAAAGGAGUGCAGUAUAUGUUGCUGUGCCGAGUGAUAUUGGGCAACAUGGAAGCUGUCGAGCCUGGAUCACAAGAGUCUUUUCCAAGCAGCGAGAUAUAUGAUUCUGGUGUCGAUGAUUGCUCAAACCCGAAGUGUUAUGUGAUGUGGCCAUCACAUCUAAGCACUCACAUGCGUUUAGAAUACCUUGUUAGUUUCAAGCUUGUCCCAAAAGUUCAAAAUUAUUUGCUUGGCUUGAAGGGUUUAUGGUUUCACCCAUCACCAAAGGAAGUUGCAGUGGAUAUUUCUUCUCUUCAACAUGUAAUGUGUGAAACAGGUGCAGGACCAGCUUCCCCAUGGAUAUCAUUCAGAGUUCUGUUUGGAGUAAUUCAAGACAGUAUAUCAUCUGUAGCAAGGGAGCUGUUCUUCCAUCAUUAUGAAGAGCUGAAGGAAAGUAAAAUAACUCGCGAAGAAAUGGUGAAGAAUAUGAUAAUAAUAGUUGGAGAAAAAAUACUUUUGGAAGCCUUGAAGAAACUUCAUUACUGUCCAUCGUUAUGGUACAAGCCUUCUGUUGAAGCUGUGUCCAGUGAUUCCGCAAGGGCAACACCAGAACAGUUAUCCUUGGAUGAGACAGGCAAGAAUUGUUCAUUGACUCUUAGUGUUAACCAUGGUGAUUCAUGUGUACCAAAUGCGGUUGCUGAUUACACCGCAGUUCUUAGCACCAAAAGAUGCGAUACCCUUGCAACUGAUAUGGUGCCCAAAGGCCAUGAUUGUCUGGCACCGAGUAGUGUGACAGAAACAUCUAGUUCUGCCGGUGCCACAUGCCGGGGUUCUCCAAGUGUGGAACCUGAAGGCAGAGAUUCUCCUAUACAAAUCAUGUCACCUGGAAACUCUGCUGCCCGAUGUGUCAAAAACCAAGAUUCUUUUGUAGCAAGAGUGGCGCCUAUAGUUUGUGAUGGCCUUUUGAGCACGAUUUCUGGAAGAUCUGCAUCUCCUAGUGUGGAAGUUUGCAAUUCUGUUACACCAACCACAGGACCUCCUGGUAAUGUUUCUGUAGCACCAACUAAUGCCUCAAAAACCCAUGGAAUUUUGGCUCCAGGUUUCACUCCUAAGGGCUGUGAAUCUACUGUACCAAGCUUGGCAUUUGGAAAUUCUGAAGGUAGAGGCGUGAAACGUCUCAAUUCUUCACCAAGAAUGACACCUGAAGGCCAGGAAUUUCUUGCACUGGGUAUUGCAUCAAAAGGCCCAGCACGUCAUUCAGUAGAAGGCCAGGUCAAUUUAACACCGGUUGCCAUACCUCCAGUCCACACGCCAGGCCGUGGAAAUUCACCAUCUAUGAGCACUGAGGGCCGUGAUUCUCUGGCACUGAGUAUCACGCCCAAAGGCCAUGAUGGUCCAGCAUCGAUUAAACUGCCAAAGCGCUGUGAAUCUCCGAGAUCUGAUACGUUGCCUGAAAGUGGUCGCCCUAAAGCUCAGGAUGCGGCCACCAAGGUGUAUAAUGCUCCGACACCGGUAACUGGGGAGCCGAAAGACCAGAUUGCGCCAUGUGGCUCGCAGAAUAAAUCAUCUGGGCCAGGCCUCGAUGGUAGCAGCCAUGUUACUGGGGCAACCAAUGCCAUUGUUGCCCUGUCAACUCUGCGAGAGAAGGGCGGGCAUUAGAGCAGCAGCUGUGUCAAAAUCGCGCCGUUUCCGUUGAAUCUCCUUGUUCUGUACAUGUGAUGUUACCCAUUACCAUGUACAUGUGGUUUUAGCUCUGGUGAACUGCAGAGGCGGGUGCAAGUGAUGUUGUCCUAGUGUGAUCAUGGCCGGCGCCCAAACGUCAUUUUGCUAGCUGCGUCGCCGGAUUGGUCACUUUUGCCCGUGAGUUGGGACUGGGUAUGCUGGGCCGUUUCUGUCAUCUGGGUCACAUAAAGGGCAGCGCGCUGGAUGCGGCAACGCAAGACACGCCAGCCGGUUGGCCGUCCAACGCUGGUUUCCAAGGACUUACAGCGAAAUGGUGCCCAGGAUCGCCAACUACGUUUCCAAGGAUCGAAACCAACAGCCCCAGUGAAGUAAAUCUGGUGUUACAAACCAACAUUCCAAAAUUGUAACAAUGUGAUCAAUUUGACAAUAAUUGAAUUAGACAGUUAAUCAAUGUAAAGACAUCCGUUGAGUUACUGACUUCUCUAAUGGGUGCAUAUCCUGUCCAUUCAUUUGCUAUAUAUGUAAACAUUCACUCAGUUAAUAAAUGCAUGUGUUUUCACA